AUUGAACGCUGGCGGCAUGCCUUACACAUGCAAGUCGAACGGUAACAGGUCUUCGGAUGCUGACGAGUGGCGAACGGGUGAGUAAUACAUCGGAACGUGCCCGAUCGUGGGGGAUAACGAAGCGAAAGCUUUGCUAAUACCGCAUAAGAUCUACGGAUGAAAGCAGGGGACCGCAAGGCCUUGCGCGAACGGAGCGGCCGAUGGCAGAUUAGGUAGUUGGUGGGAUAAAAGCUUACCAAGCCGACGAUCUGUAGCUGGUCUGAGAGGACGACCAGCCACACUGGGACCGAGACACGGCCCAGACUCCUACGGGAGGCAGCAGUGGGGAAUUUUGGACAAUGGGCGAAAGCCUGAUCCAGCCAUGCCGCGUGCAGGAUGAAGGCCUUCGGGUUGUAAACUGCUUUUGUACGGAACGAAAAGACUCUUUCUAAUAAAGAGGGUCCAUGACGGUACUGUAAGAAUAAGCACCGGCUAACUACGUGCCAGCAGCCGCCGUAACAC
rnacentral:rRNA from 1 species